UUUUUUUUGCUCUCUGUCUUUAAAAUUCAUUUGCUUUCAUUCUGCAUAUUUUGAGAGAUGGGUUGUGGAAAUUCUUCUGCAGCCAGUACUGCUGGAGGUCAACCCGAAGCUGCCAAAGGCGACUUUAAAAUCUCUCCAUCGGAAAUUAUGAAGGAGGUAUGCAGAGGAGGUGGGAGAAUGUUCUAGAAAUGUGCCCCUAGUGUGGCUCAGUUGGUCCUGAGGCUACCUGGAACUGCAUGUCAAUCAACUCUUCAGCUGUAAGCAGUGGAGGGUGGAGCCCAGGAGCGAGGACGCUUUUCCAGAGGAUGAGAAGAGGAAGAACUAUGGAGGAGUGUAUGUUGGAUUACCGGCUGACCUCAGCAAUGUAAAUACAGCCCCGACUCCGUCCACACAUAAAG